UACGGAGGGUGCAACCGUUGCUCGGAAUCAUUGGGCGUAAAGCGCACGUAGGCGGCCUGUUAAGUCGGGUGUGAAAGCCCUGGGCUCAACCCAGGAAGUGCACUCGAAACUGGCGGGCUUGAGUACGAAAGAGGGUCGCGGAAUUCCCGGUGUAGAGGUGAAAUUCGUAGAUAUUCGGAAGAACACCAGUGGCGAAGGCGGCUCACUGGACCGGUAUUGACGCUGAGGUGCGAAAGCGUGGGGAGCAAACAGG
rnacentral:rRNA from 1 species